rnacentral:rRNA from 1 species
ACUGCGAGUGUAGAGGUGAAAUUCGUAGAUAUUCGGAGGAACACCAGUGGCGAAGGCGGUUCUCUGGGCCUUUCCUGACGCUGAGGAGCGAAAGCGUGGGGAGCGAACAGGAUUAGAUACCCUGGUAGUCCACGCUGUAAACGGUGGGUACUAGGUGUGGGGUCCAUUCCACGGGUUCCGUGCCGUAGCUAACGCUUUAAGUACCCCGCCUGGGGAGUACGGCCGCAAGGCUAAAACUCAAAGGAAUUGACGGGGGCCCGCACAAGCGG